GACGAACGCUGGCGGCGUGCUUAACACAUGCAAGUCGAACGGUGAAGCGCCUUCUUUUUUGGUUGGUGUGGUUGAGUGGCGAACGGGUGAGUAACACGUGCCUAACCUUUCCCUUUCUUUUGGUUAACCGCAUGAAAGCUUUUCUAAUACGGGAUAUUCUGGUUCUUUCGCGUGAUUGGUCUGUUUAUGUUAUUGUUUCGGUGCGGGCUGGUCUCGCGGCUUAUCAGCUUGUUGGUGGGGUGAUGGCCUACCAAGGCGGUGAGGGGAAGACGGCCUGGGAGGGUGGACGGUCACAAUGGGAGUGAGACACGGCGGAGACUCCGACGGGAGGCAGCAGUGGGGAGUAGGGCACAGUGGGGGCAAGCCUGAUGCAGCCACGACGCGUGAGGGACGGAGGCCCUCGGGUUGUGAACCUCUUUCGACAGUGAAGCGGGCCUGCCUCGGUUGUGGGUGGGUUGACGGUAGCUGGAUAAGAAGCGCCGGCUAACUACGUG
rnacentral:rRNA from 1 species